GACCGGCUGAAUGCGCGCGCAGCUCUUGCCGCGCGUGCGCAUUCAGCCGACGGGGCGGAGAAGAGGAGGAUCGGAGGAGGAGAGCUCUCCGCCCAGCGCUGGAAAAAGGUAAGUUUUUAUCCCUUUCCCCCUUCCAGAGCCGGGCGGGAGGGGGUCCCUGAGGGUGGGGACACCCUCAGGGCACUAUAGUGCCAGGAAAACGAGUAUGUUUUCC